rnacentral:rRNA from 1 species
AUUGAACGCUGGCGGCAGGCCUAACACAUGCAAGUCGAACGAGUGGCGGACGGGUGAGCAAUGUCUGGGAAACUGCCUGAUGGAGGUGGAUAACUACUGGAAACGGUAGCUAAUACCGCAUACCAUCAGAUGUGCCCAGAUAGGAUUGGCUUGUUGGUGGGGUAACGGCUCACCAAGGCGACGAUCACUAGCUGGGCUGAGAGUAUGACCGUCCACACUGGAACGGAGAAACGUUCCAGACUCCUACGGUAGGCAGCAGUGGGGAAUAUUGCACAAUGGGCGAAAGCCGGAUGCAGCCAUGCCGCGGGUAUGAAGAAGGCCUGCGGGUUGUAAAGUACUUUCAGCGGGGAGGCGUUACCCGCAGAAGAAGCACCGGCUAACUCCGUGCCAGCAGCCGCGGUAAUUC